UGGCUCAGGAUGAACGCUAGCGGCAGGCUUAACACAUGCAAGUCGAGGGGUAGAAGUCUUCGGACUUUGAGACCGGCGCACGGGUGCGUAACGCGUAUGCAAUCUGCCUUUCACAGAGGGAUAGCCCAGAGAAAUUUGGAUUAAUACCUCAUAGCAUUAUAGAUCGGCAUCGAUUAUUAAUUAAAGUCACAACGGUGAAAGAUGAGCAUGCGUCCCAUUAGCUAGUUGGUAAGGUAACGGCUUACCAAGGCAACGAUGGGUAGGGGUCCUGAGAGGGAGAUCCCCCACACUGGUACUGAGACACGGACCAGACUCCUACGGGAGGCAGCAGUGAGGAAUAUUGGUCAAUGGGCGCAAGCCUGAACCAGCCAUGCCGCGUGCAGGAUGACGGUCCUAUGGAUUGUAAACUGCUUUUGUACGGGAAGAAACACUCCUUCGUGAAGGAGCUUGACGGUACCGUAAGAAUAAGGAUCGGCUAACUCCGUGCCAGCAGCCGCGGUAAUACGGAGGAUCCAAGCGUUAUCCGGAAUCAUUGGGUUUAAAGGGUCCGUAGGCGGUCCGGUAAGUCAGUGGUGAAAGCCCAUCGCUCAACGGUGGAACGGCCAUUGAUACUGCUGGACUUGAAUUACUGGGAAGCAACUAGAAUAUGUAGUGUAGCGGUGAAAUGCUUAGAGAUUACAUGGAAUACCAAUUGCGAAGGCAGGUUGCUACCAGUGGAUGA
rnacentral:rRNA from 1 species